UGGGGAAUAUUGGACAAUGGGCGAAAGCCUGAUCCAGCCAUGCCGCGUGUGUGAAGAAGGUCUUCGGAUUGUAAAGCACUUUAAGUUGGGAGGAAGGGUUGUAGAUUAAUACUCUGCAAUUUUGACGUUACCGACAGAAUAAGCACCGGCUAACUCUGUGCCAGCAGCCGCGGUAAUACAGAGGGUGCAAGCGUUAAUCGGAAUUACUGGGCGUAAAGCGCGCGUAGGUGGUUUGUUAAGUUGGAUGUGAAAGCCCCGGGCUCAACCUGGGAACUGCAUCCAAAACUGGCAAGCUAGAGUACGGUAGAGGGUGGUGGAAUUUCCUGUGUAGCGGUGAAGUGCGUAGAUAUAGGAAGGAACACCAGUGGCGAAGGCGACCACCUGGACUGAUACUGACACUGAGGUGCGAAAGCGUGGGGAGCAAACA
rnacentral:rRNA from 1 species